GGCACGCCAGAGAUCAGAACACAAGCUCAGCACAGGACCACCUGUAAGCUAAGCCAGGAAAAGGGCAAGGAAGAAGAAGAUGAGCAGCGGCGGUGGCCGGAGCUCCCUCGGCUACCUCUUCCAGCCGGAGGAAACAAGUCCGUAUCACACGACGGCCAAAUCCAACCAGGAAACCGAGAAGACUACUCCAGAUACCAACAGCAGCAGUGUCAAGGAUGACAACAAGAUGAUCGGAGCUGGAGCCGAUAAAGAACCACCACAGCUUCCUCCACCGAAUAGAGAAGUCUCGAACCCGAUACUCUCGUCUAACAGAUCUCCUUGCAACAUCUACCAUACCAGCCAGCUAAGCUACAACAACUCUGGAUUUCUUAUCACUGACCGACCAUCGACGAGGGUACGCUGUGCACCAGGAGGGCCGUCGUCGCUUGGGUUUCUGUUCGGAGAGGAGCAUGAGAAGUGAUAGAUCUCGUCAGUGCUAAUCUACAAGAGAGUAUGGCUGCAUGUGUAUGCACCGAUUUUCUUGGAUUUCAUCAGAAUACUGGAAAGGCGAUCUGAUUUACAUAGGGUGGCUGUGGCAUGCGUCUUCUUUUUAUGUUUGCGCGGUCUGUGUGUAUAUUUAUGUUUGUUAUUAUUUAUUUGGUAAUGCGGUGUUGAAAGGAUGUUUCAAAUUUGUCAUAUAAAAUCGUUGCUGCCCGAGCAUAAGUUAUAUGGAAAUUUGAGUUAAAGGUGGACAUUCAAAUA